rnacentral:ncRNA from 1 species
UCUGCCGGCACGAAUGCCGGCAUCGAGCGAUGUUGAGAAUGCGUCGCGAGAGGGAACCCGGUGAGAGUCCGGGACUGUCCCGCAGCGGUAUGCAGGAACGACCGCCGUCAUCAGCACUGGUCGAAAGACCGGGAAGCGACGGCCAGUAGGAGCACCACGGGUGCGCGCCUGCGAGUCCGAAGACCUGCCGGCUGUGCCGGGCGCGC